CGGGAGGCCUCGCCGUGGCCCCGGAAGGCCCGCAGGGCAGGUCUCCUCCGGGAUCUCUUGGCCUUGCCCUCUCCGCGGCCCCGGGCCUCCACACGUGCCUGUCGAGCUCCUACUGUGUGUCCCCCACGGCUCGAGGCUCCGGCUGCUUUGCGAGCGAGAUGGUGAUAGGUUUGUUCCAGAUUUUUCCUUUGACAAAGAAUACCUCUGUGAACAUACUCAAGCAUGUCUUUUGGUACAUGGUAUACAUGUGCAAGAAUUUGUCCAAGUAGGCUCCACACACAGCAUGAAGGCCAAUGCCGGGCUUGAACUCAGGACCCUGAGAUCAAGAGCUGAGCUGAGAUCAAGAGUUGGAUGCCUAGCCAACUGAGCCACCCAACUUCCCCUGUAUUCCUUUUCUUAAUGAGAAUUCCUCUCUUCCAUUGUACAAGCCUAAGGUCCCCAAAUCGCUGGAUUUGCUCCCGUAGUUUAUGCAUAUAUUAAACAAA